ensembl:miRNA
GAAAGUUGAAGGGACAAGUCAGAUAUGCCAUUAUGUGGGUCAUGAGGUGCUGAGACUUCUCUCCCUUCAG